AGUGAACGCUGGCGGUAGGCCUAACACAUGCAAGUCGAACGGCAGCACAGUAAGAGCUUGCUCUUACGGUUGGCGAGUGGCGGACGGGUGAGGAAUACAUCGGAAUCUACUUUUUCGUGGGGGAUAACGUAGGGAAACUUACGCUAAUACCGCAUACGACCUACGGUUGAAAGCAGUGGAUCUUCUGACCUUGCGCGAUUGAAUGAGCCGAUGUCGGAUUAGCUAGUUGGCGGGGUAAAGGCCCACCAAGGCGACGAUCCGUAGCUGGUCUGAGAGGAUGAUAAGCCACACUGGAACGGAGACACGGUCCAGACUACUACGGGAGGCAGCAGAGGGGAAUAUUGGACAAUGGGAGCAAGCCUGAUCCAGCAAUACCGCGUGGGUGAAGAAGGCCUUCGGGUUGUAAAGCCCUUUUGUUGGGAAAGAAUAGAAGCAGGUUAAUACCCCGAUGUUCUGACGGUACCAAAAGAAUAAGCACCGGCUAACUUCGUG
rnacentral:rRNA from 1 species